CGGCCCGGCUCCCCGCCCUCGCCCUCUUCCCUUUCUUUCCCCGCGCCUUUGUCUCCGCCUCCCAACCCCCUUUGUGUCUCUGGGAAGACUCAGCCUCAGACAGCAGCGACCCCACCCGGCCGGCUGUCGGGGACCCCACAGACCCCGAGACGCACGUCUGGGGCAGAAGUUAGUGGCAGUGAGGACGCCACCCUCACACUUGGCAUCUUUCCUGCUCCCUUUUCCUUCCCCCAGCGCUCCCCCUUCCUCUUCAUCUCCUUCUCCAAGAAGGAGGACCUGCUGCUGACAUUAUCACGUUGGCCUAAAGUAGUUCUCUCCCCUUUCUGAAUGCGUAUUUGUGGUCACUUUUAUGAUUACAAAACCAAAACCUGUCCACCCGCUCAGGCUGCUAAGAAAAGGCUCUUCAGCAGGUGCGGCAGCACUGUAGGCUCCAUGACUGGAGCCCAACACGGAGCUUGAACUUACUACCCGGAGAUCAAGACUUGAGCUGAGAUCAAGAGUUGGAUGCUUAACUGACUGAGCCACCCAGCUGUGCUCUCAGGAGCAGGUGGCCUUCCAGGAGACUCCAGCAGGGCAAAAGAGACAGACAUGGAGGCAGCUGGCUGGCUUGGACUGCUUCGUCCUUGGAAAGACCCACAGAAUUUUCCCCACACUCCAUAGGCUGGAACUAGUCACAUGGCCCCACAACAGCGAGGGAGACUGGGAUACAGAGUGGAGCAUGUGGAUAUUUGAUUUUAUUUAUUUAUUUGAGAGAGAGAGCAUAAGAGGGGAGAAGGUCAGAGGGAGAAGCAGACUUCCUGUGGAGCUGGGAGCCUGAUGCGGGACUCGAUCCCUGGACUCCGGGAUCAUGACUCAAGCUGAAGACAGUUGCCUAACCAACUGAGCCCCCCCAAGCACUCUGAAUGUACUGUUUUUGUUUGGCUUCUUUUGCUCAGCAUACUUAUUUUGAGACUUGCCUGUGUUGAGCACAUCAACAAUUCAUUGGUCUUUCUUGCUGGGUAGUAUUCCAUUCCAAUGAAUGCAGCAUAUUUCUGUAUUACACAUACAGAUGUGAGAUGGACAGUUGUGUCUAAGACUCCAUGCAGACUUCAGGGUUCAUUUUCCUUCAGGGUUCAUAUUUCCUAGGUAGGAAAUAUCUAGAAGGGCAAUGGUUGAAUCUUAUGGUGUGUAUGGUGGGGGAAUGUUUAACUUUUUAAGAAACUGCUGAACUGUUUGCUUGAAUGGUAUUUAGCUUAAAAUGAUGCAAGUGAAUUUGAAUUGGUUUUAAUUGCCCUUAGAUUAGGAGUAUAAGUUCAUAGGAUGGUGAAGCCAGAAGGAACUGAUAUCACAGUCCAGUUCUUGGAUUUACUGUAGAAGAAAGAGUGAUCCAGAAAAGUUAAAUGCCUUUCCUGAGCUCUUGUUGCUCACUAGUUGUUGCUAGUUGUUUCUAGUCUCUUUACUCUUCCAUAAGAUCCUGCAAUCUGGGGGGAAGUCUACUAAGUCAUGUUGCCACUUCCCUGCAUAGUCUUACAUUUGGCUGCCAAGGACAUGGCUGUCCUUCAGAACAGGCCUAGCUCUGCAUGUGUUACAUAACUUUGGCCAUGAAACAUCUUUUGAAAUUCUGGGGCUUUUUCCGGACAGGGAGUAAAGAGCAUCACAAGGAUAAUGAGCCUGUCUUCUAUGGGACAUCACAUGUGACCACUCACAAUAUUCACAGCAGCUCAGCAUCAGGUCAGAUAAAAUGUGCUAUCGUCAUUAAUAUUUGGUUCCUGGAGGAGAUUCACCUCGUUUCUGAACACACUGAUGCACCCGAAGAAUUAAGACUGCAGAGUGCUCCAUUAGAAGUGAAGAAAACAGUAUGCCAAUUACCCAGCUUCUUUAGCUUACCUUUCCGGCUCCCGCCUCUUAUUAUCAUAUUCAUAAGCGUUGCCCCUAAUCAGUCUUCUUGAGUAAAGUUAACAAGUGUA